UAGGGAAUAUUGGUCAAUGGGCGCAAGCCUGAACCAGCCAUGCCGCGUGAGUGAUGAAGGCCUUCGGGUCGUAAAACUCUUUUCUGCGGAAAGAACAUCCGGACGAGGAAAUGCGUCCGGUCUGACGGUACCGCAGGAAUAAGCAACGGCUAACUCCGUGCCAGCAGCCGCGGUAAUACGGAGGUUGCAAGCGUUGUUCGGAAUAACUGGGCGUAAAGGGAGCGCAGGCGGCAAGGUCAGUCUAAAGUGAAAGCCCGGGGCUUAACCUCGGAAGUGCUUUAGAUACUGCCUUUCUCGAGUUCGUGAGAGGAAAGCGGAAUUCCAGGUGUAGCGGUGAAAUGCGUAGAUAUCUGGAGGAACACCGGUGGCGAAAGCGGCUUUCUGGCGCGAUACUGACGCUGAGGCUCGAAAGCAUGGGGAGCGAACG
rnacentral:rRNA from 1 species